AGGUCUCCUGAAGGAACGUUGAAGACGACGACGUUGAUAGGCCGGGUGUGUAAGCGCAGCGAUGCGUUGAGCUAACCGGUACUAAUGAACCGUGAGGCUUAACCCUACAACGCCGAAG
rnacentral:rRNA from 2 species